GGGCAUGUGGCUUAGUGGCAGAGUGCUUGCCUAGCAUGCAUGAAGCCCUGGGUUCAAUUCCCCAGUACCA
rnacentral:tRNA from 1 species